AGCAGUACGUCAGCGGCAGACGGGUGAGUAACGCGUGGGAACGUACCUUUUGGUUCGGAACAACCCAGGGAAACUUGGGCUAAUACCGGAUAAGCCCUUACGGGGAAAGAUUUAUCGCCGAAAGAUCGGCCCGCGUCUGAUUAGCUUGUUGGUGAGGUAACGGCUCACCAAGGCGACGAUCAGUAGCUGGUCUGAGAGGAUGAUCAGCCACAUUGGGACUGAGACACGGCCCAAACUUCUACGGGAGGCAGCAGUGGGGAAUAUUGGACAAUGGGCGCAAGCCUGAUCCAGCCAUGCCGCGUGAGUGAUGAAGGCCCUAGGGUUGUAAAGCUCUUUUGUGCGGGAAGAUAAUGACGGUACCGCAAGAAUAAGCCCCGGCUAACUUCGUGCCAGCAGCCGCGGUAAUACGAAGGGGGCUAGCGUUGCUCGGAAUCACUGGGCGUAAAGGGUGCGUAGGCGGGUCUUUAAGUCAGAGGUGAAAGCCUGGAGCUCAACUCCAGAACUGCCUUUGAUACUGAGGAUCUUGAGUUCGGGAGAGGUGAGUGGAACUGCGAGUGUAGAGGUGAAAUUCGUAGAUAUUCGCAAGAACACCAGUGGCGAAGGCGGCUCACUGGCCCGAUACUGACGCUGAGGCACGAAAGCGUGGGGAG
rnacentral:rRNA from 1 species